rnacentral:tRNA from 1 species
GCCCUGUUAGCUCAGUUGGUAGAGCAGUCGCCUCUUAAGCGAACGGUCGCAGGUUCGAAUCCUGCACGGGGCACAA